CCCAACUAAAGUCAUCAGAUUCUUUCAUUGUUCUGUGGUCCGCAAUAUUUACCUCUCUGCUGUCUUAACCCCUGCUGGGAAGGUUCAAGCAAGUCUACCCAAAGGACAUUGUGGAACUGUUUUUUACCCUGCAUAUUCCCCUUGGGACCUCGCCUGGGUGGAUACUUAUACCCAACUAAAGUCAUCAGAUUCUUUCAUUGUUCUGUGGUCCGCAAUAUUUACCUCUCUGCUGUCUUAACCCCUGCUGGGAAGGUUCAAGCAAGUCUACCCAAAGGACAUUGUGGAACUGUUUUUUACCCUGCAUAUUCCCCUUGGGACCUCGCCUGGGUGGAUACUUAUACCCAACUAAAGUCAUCAGAUUCUUUCAUUGUUCUGUGGUCCGCAAUAUUUACCUCUCUGCUGUCUUAACCCCUGCUGGGAAGGUUCAAGCAAGUCUACCCAAAGGACAUUGUGGAAGUACGUGUAUCUGCUGCUACCAAGCUUCUGUAAUUUUUUACUCCUUGUUGCUAUUUGUGUACGCCAUCUCCCCGCCAGGACAGCCAGUGGCCUAUACCCCUCUUAUCUUUGCCUCUCUACUCUCACCCUCAUUCUAAUUUCUCUAAUCCUUACAGGCUCCUUCCCAUUCAAUCCUCUUUAGCCCAUUCACUGCCCUAGUGACCUAGUGUACUUCUACACUCACCACAAGAGGCUACCCCUCCCCACUGAUAUUCCAUUACUUUACUUACUCCUUGCUUUCUUCCCUUACUAGCCUUUACUUUCAUCUCUCACCGAACUCUCAGCCCACUCCACCUAUUACAUCCAGAACCUUACUUACCCUCUUACAGCUUAUUUUCCUGCAAUCUAAGCUCCACUGAUUGGCUCUCAUCCUUCUC